CUUCGACCUUAGACCGAGAGCUAAGCCCGGCGCAGGCGCGCUCCCCGCCCCAAUUGCUCUGCUAGAGAGCGCGGCGGGCUGUGGGCGUCCUGAGCGGUGAGAUAGCCCCAGCCUGCUGCUCAGUACUGUAGUGGGAGCUAGGGAAAAACUCAGUGUGAUGAAGGAUGGUGCUGUAUCCUGUGUCCUUCUCCGAUCCUACUGCUGUCUCUCUGCACUAGGUGAGUGCCUCGCUACCUACAGUAUCCAGAGCACUGAUUUGCCACCUUAACACUGCUCACAGCACCUAUGAUGAUUCCUAUAGCUGUCAUGGAGAUGUGAAAGUUGCUACAGGUACAAUGCCUAUGGCCUACCUUGCAAAGUAAUUAGUGAGGAUGCCACCUCUGCUGAAGGCCAAGCCAAGCCAUUCAAGGACUGAACUGUUACUACUUCGAGAGAAUGGUUCAUCACUGGUUAUCAGUAACUCUUCGUGGCAGUAAACAGAUCCCAGUCAACAACUUCUAUUCCCAGAGUGUUUCUGCAGUGCAGCCUAAUCAGUAGUGACAUCAGCACUGCUGACAUGCCAGAUCAGCACAUCCUGUUCACAUCCUGGCCCCACACAAGAAAAUGAAACCAUA
ensembl:lncRNA